rnacentral:rRNA from 1 species
AGCCGCGGUAAUACAUAGGGGGCAAGCGUUAUCCGGAAUUAUUGGGCGUAAAGGGUGCGUAGGCGGUAAGUUAAGUUUAAGGUAUAAGCUCAUGGCUCAACCAUGGGAGGCUUUAGAAACUGGCUAACUUGAGUAAGGUAGAGGCAAGUGGAAUUCCAUGUGUAGCGGUAAAAUGCGUAAAUAUAUGGAGGAACACCGGUGGCGAAGGCGGCUUGCUGGGCCUUAACUGACGCUGAGGCACGAAAGCGUGGGGAGCAAACAGGAUUAGAUACCCUGGUAGUCCACGCCGUAAACGAUGAGUACUAAGUGCUGGGGGACUCAGUGCUGAAGCAAACGUAGUAAGUACUCCGCCUGAGUAGUACGUGCGCAAGCAUGAAACUCAAAGGAAUUGACGGGACCCCGCACAAGCGGUGGAUCAUGUUGUUUAAUUCGAGGAUACGCGAAGAACCUUACCAGGCCUUGACAUACCGUGCGAAGCUAUAGAGAUAUAGUGAAGGCUAACACGGAUACAGGUGGUGCAUGGCC